CUCAUAUUUAUGUUAGAAAACCUCAAAGUGAGAUUUUCAUGCCAUGGCACCUUUAACGCUGGUUAAUUAGCCCUUUAACAGCAUGGCCUAAUUCAUGAAUAUUCCCAUCAUUAGUUCAUGGAGUGUGCUCGCGAUUUAUAUUGCAAUGCUUUUCUCCGAGGGACAAGAACGUGUGCGACUAGUCAUAACAUCCCUGGGCCGUGUGGCCCUAGGACCAGCUGGUGUCUCUAGGAACAUCCCUGGGCCGUGUGGGUCUAGGACCAGCUGGUGUCUCUAGUCAGAACAUCCCUAGGCCGUCUGGGUCUAGGACCAGCUGGUGUCUCUCUGGUCAGGAACAUCCUAGACCGUGUGGUCUAAGACCAGUUGGUGUCUCUAGUCGGGAACAUCCCUAGACCGUGUUGACAGUGUGUCUCUCUGGUUAGGGUUAGGGUGUUUUCUAUUAGUUCCCCUAACUCGUUUCCUAUGCUUGAUAGGACAUGGCCGUGGCAUCUUUUUCAGUGGAAUAAAUGAUUGAACUAAGUUCCCCUAUACACAUUAUUUUUAUAAUGAAAUAAAAUAUGGGUUUUAAACGCAUAUCUGAAUUACACAAAUGUUGUUCUUCCAUGGCUUUAAUCGUGGAGUGAUUAGCAUCUCCCUGGCUUGGCCAGCCUCAAGUCAUUAUGUUUAUAUCCAGCACGCCCACACUCAGAGAUGGACCGCUACUGUUCUAUGUUAUGCAACGCAAUCGUGUGUUGCUUUAUGCUAUUCUAAAUUGUACUUUGUCCUGUAUGGUAUUGUCCUAUGCCAUCUCAUGCUCAGUUUGUUCAUGCUAUUCUAUGUGUCCUUCAUGUAUGCUAUCUUGCACAAUGACAUGCAAAGGUAUGCUAUAACAUGCAAAUCCCAGCCUGUUUAGCUCUGUUGAACCGUUGUGCUGCGUGGUCCUCAUGCUACUCCGUCCCCCCAGGGUCUGGGCCUGCUGAUCAACCUGGUGGAGUACAGCGCCAGGAACAAGCACUGUCUGAUGGAGAUGGACGUGGAGGUGGAGGUCAGCCUGGGCCUUGCAGACCUCACCGUCCUGCCCAAAGCACAGCCCCCACAGCCCCCCGACACCAUGACCCUCUGCUCCAUCAACCCAAUCGCAGACCUCACCAUCCUGCCCAACCCACAGCCCCCCGACACCAAGACCCUUUGCUCCCUCAACGCAAUCGCCGCCCUAGUACAGCUGUUCCUCGAGCGAGAGCGCGCCCGCCCUUUGGCCGAGUCGCAGACUGAUGACCUCAUCAGGAGCCCCCCCAAGCCGGCGCUGGACCAGAGCGGGAGUGGCAGGAGGAGGGCGGUGAAUCCAGUGGGUCGCCAAUGACAACGCCAUCCAACCCACCACCGAGAUCAGCAAGAAGGAGGAAGAGGAGAAGAAGAAGAAGGAGGAGGAGGAGGGGGAACUGGACCUCAACAAAGCUCUGUUGCACGCAGGAAGCACCAUGGAGGACAGCUUCGUGGCCUCCUACACCGCCUUGCUGCUCGGCUGCCUUUGCCAGGGCAGCCCGAUGAAUGUGACUACUGUGAGAGAGAACCUGCCUAAAGGUGACUUUUCCAUCUUGACGGAGAUGCUCAAAAAGUUCCUCAACUUCAUGAACCUUACAUGUGAUAUCGGCACAGCAGGACACAAGUCCAUCUCCAAAGUUAUCGAUUACCUGGAGCACUGCUAGGUUGAAGCUGUCUCUCUCGCACGGACACCCCAUCUUCAUCAUCACUGUAGAGCUGUUAAAGCACUGACACAUACACGUACACAUACACACACACACACACACCAUAAUCAAUGAUGGAGUCACAUAUUGUUGUACGACUUGCAACUCAGUUGUAUUCUGUUCGCUUUGGCUUCAGAUUGAAGGUGAACUCCCUGUGCUGUUGUCUCCUCCACGCUAAGCUGGCCUCAGCUCCUUUAAUCAGACGGAGAGUAGUGGCCCUUUAUGCACUCGGCCAUCAUCAGACGCCCCACGUCUCCCCGCUCCCAACAGACAUGGAGUGACACAUGUUUUGGACUCCAGCAACUCUGCUGGAGAUGCCGUCCAUGACCCCUGACCCCAUCUUGCUCUCCAUUGAUUGGUUUAAGCUUUUUUUCCCUCUGAUGAUCUGUCAACAGGGAGGUAUUUUAUUAAGAGGUACCCCCCUGAGGUUUGGGCUGUGUGGGUUUGACUGUAGAAUCUGGGCAGAUUGGAGGGGAAGGACAUUUUUUAAUCACCUAAAAACGAUUUCCAAAAGAUUUGCAAAAUAUAACGACUAGCAAGCUUAAUUAGUAAAAGACGUAUCACAUCCAAAUGAAUAAAGCGUCAGUAAUUGUAGACAUUUUUUCACGAUACUUACUCUUCCAGUGGUAAUUAACCCUCUUAAUCUCGAUCUACCUCUGCUUUAUGUUUUUUAUAUAUAUUAUUUAUUUCUUGGUUGGUCACUCGUUCCAUGUUGUAAAAUGAUUCCUUUAAGAAGUAAAGUCCUUCUGAUUUGUUGUCGUCUCCUACUCAAGACCUUAAAACAGCCAACAUGUGGUCCCACAAUGUCACUGCAUGGCCAUUUAUAACAUUUUUUACCAAAAACUGAGUAAUUUUGGAAUUUAGAAAUGUUGAAUAUCAGAUGAGGUACCAUCCAAAUGAUUUGAGACAGACUGUGUUUCCAUGGUUACAAUAGCCCACACCCUGUUGGUUUCCUAAGCGGUUAGAUUAUUUUUUAUAGUAGUUUGGCCCCUACAUUUAUUUUCCAAAUGUUUCUAAUUUCUCCUAUACUGUCCAUCUCCCACACAGGUAUUGUAUUGACCUCUGACCCGUCACCCUAAUUUAUUUGAUUUUCUGACUCUUCUGUCGUCACUUCCAAACAUGAGACCUCAGAGCUCUCUUUGGUCCAAUCCAAACCCAACAAACUCCUUGUAAUCCUUUAACAUUAAAGAGCUUUAUUCACAUCUGGAGGAAUGGAACAAGUUUUGUACAUACAUGUAAAUAGGUUGCUUACGAAAGAAAACAAAAUCUAGACUAGUAGACUCUACUUUUCAGAAUGGGACUCUAUUUUUUAUUUUAUACAGCUGUUUUUCCCACGUGUCGUUUCAAUAGACAGACAAGGUUCCCUGAACCAACUGCAGAAAACCAUGUUCUUUGUAUCAAUUUCCAGAAAGAUGUCUUUGGUUACCUGUAAAUCAUUUUAAAAACAAAUAAAAAAUUGCUACUUUCAGUACA